GAUGAACGCUAGCUACAGGCUUAACACAUGCAAGUCGAGGGGUAGCACGGAAGAAGCUUGCUUCUUUGGGUGACGACCGGCGCACGGGUGAGUAACGCGUAUCCGACCUACCCAUAACUCGGGCACAGCCGCUCGAAAGAGCGAUUGAUUCCCGAUAUGUCUUUAGAGUAGAUCUAAUGAUGAAAGAUUCAUCGGUUAUGGAUGGGGAUGCGUUCCAUUAGAUAGUCGGUGAGGUAACGGCUCACCGAGUCUAUGAUGGAUAGGGGUUCUGAGAGGAAGGUCCCCCANAUUGGAACUGAGACACGGUCCAAAACUCCUACGGGAGCAGCAGUGAGGAAUAUUGGUCAAUGGACGAGAGUCUGAACCAGCCAUGUCGCGUGAAGGACGACGGUCCUAUGGAUUGUAAACUUCUUUUAUAUGGGAAUAAAGUGUGGGACGUGUCCCAUUUUGUAUGUACCAUUAUGAAUAAGCAUCGGCUAACUCCGUGCCAG
rnacentral:rRNA from 1 species